rnacentral:rRNA from 1 species
GGUCACACCCGUUCCCAUUCCGAACACGGCAGUUAAGCUCUUCAGCGCCGAUGGUAGUUGGGGGUUUCCCCCUGUGAGAGUAGGACGCCGCCAAGC